UAGAUUACCUUUUCCUGUGUGUACGCAUAUACAAGAGUGCAUCUCCUCUGCGGCCUACGUGGCUAUGGCCUUUUUAUUGGCUUGACUACUUUUUUCCUUUUUGGGUGUACAUGUUAUACAAGGAGCACACGCCCUAUACUUUUUUUUAAUCCAAUACCAGCCUUGAAGGAAGCUAUUGACAUGGAAUCCCUCAAGCCAGUCUUCGAGAACCCCUUUGAGCGCCCAUGCUGAGAGUGGCUUGUUCAACUUAGAGAGUUUGUGGGGGAGAGUACAUAUACAUACAUAUGAACUGUUUGAGCAAAUCACCAAGGCAGAUUUCUGUCCACAACAUAUCAGUAACAACAUCGGUUGAUUCCGGGAUUGGGUAACCUGAGGAGC
rnacentral:sRNA from 1 species